rnacentral:rRNA from 1 species
CAUGGAGUUUGAUCCUGGCUCAGAUUGAACGCUGGCGGAAUGCUUUACACAUGCAAGUCGAACGGUAGAGGGGGCAACCCCUUGAGAGUGGCGAACGGGUGAGUAAUAUAUCGGAACGUGCCCAGUCGUGGGGGAUAACGUAGCGAAAGUUACGCUAAUACCGCAUAUGAUCUAAGGAUGAAAGCGGGGGAUCGCAAGACCUCGCGCGAUUGGAGCGGCCGAUAUCAGAUUAGGUAGUUGGUGGGGUAAAGGCUCACCAAGCCAACGAUCUGUAGCUGGUCUGAGAGGACGACCAGCCACACUGGAACUGAGACACGGUCCAGACUCUACGGGGAGCAGCAGUGGGGAAUUUUGGACAAUGGACGCAAGUCUGAUCCCAGCCCAUUCCGCG